rnacentral:rRNA from 1 species
GUACACGUGACUAACCUACCCUCGAGUGUGGAAUAACAUCGGGAAACCGAUGCUAAUACGCAUAACAUCGCAAGAUCAAAGGAGCAAUCCGCUUGAGGAGGGGGUCGCGGCUGAUUAGCUAGUUGGCUGGGGUAACGGCCCACCAAGGCGAAGAUCGGUAGCCUGGCCUGAGAGGGCGCACUGGCACACUGGAACUGAAACACGGUCCAGACUCCUACGGGAGGCAGCAGUGGGGACAUUUUGCGCAAUGGGGGAAACCUGACGCAGCAACGCCGCGUGGAGGAUGAAGCCCCUUGGGGCGUAAACUCCUUUCGACAAGACGAUAAUGACGGUACUGGUGGAAGAAGCACCGGUAACUCUGUGCCAGCAGCCGAGGUAAUACGAGAGGGGCAAGCGUUCGUACGGAAUUAUUGGGCGUAAAGGGUGCGUAGGCCGGUCCUGACCAAGUCACUUAUGUGCACAUCUAUGGGCUCAACCCAUAGCCUGCACUGACAAACUGUCCGGGCCUCUGAA